ensembl:snRNA U4 U4 spliceosomal RNA
AGCUUUGCACAGUGGCAGGAUCAUAGCCAGUGAGGUUUCUCCAAGGCACGAGUAUUGCUAAUUAAAAACUAAACAGAAGAAACAUCAGCAAAUGUAAUGAAAAAUGCUAAACGCGUUAACCCUGAACC